UACGAAGGGGGCUAGCGUUGCUCGGAAUCACUGGGCGUAAAGCGCACGUAGGCGGAUCUUUAAGUCAGGGGUGAAAUCCUGGAGCUCAACUCCAGAACUGCCUUUGAUACUGGGGAUCUCGAGUCCGGAAGAGGUGAGUGGAACUCCGAGUGUAGAGGUGAAAUUCGUAGAUAUUCGGAAGAACACCAGUGGCGAAGGCGGCUCACUGGUCCGGUACUGACGCUGAGGUGCGAAAGUGUGGGGAGCGAACAGG
rnacentral:rRNA from 1 species